GUCGCUGCUUGCAACGUAACCACCAAAAAGAAAAGGAACGUUUAACUACAGAAAUGGCGACGACGAUUCGAUCCGAUAUUCGUUCGGCUAUGCAUAUGGCGACUUCGACCUUCCGCUCUUUCAGCCCCAAGGUCCUUAUUCCUUCACGCGCCGCCGCGCGUCGUGCUCUACCGUUUUCUUCGUCCAUCUCAUCGUCCUUUACGGCGGCUACAACCACGUCGCUCAGCCUGAGAGGUUUCUACUCCACCAACUCCGUGAGCGACGCCGUCCUGAAGGCUCCGGAAUUGCCGUCCAUAUGUACGGCCGAUGAGCUCCAUUAUGUCUCCGUAUCAAGCUCUGAUUGGAAACUCGCCCUUUGGCGCUACCAUCCUUCUCCUCAGGCACCUCAGAGGAAUCACCCGCUGCUGCUAUUGUCUGGGGUGGGGACUAACGCCAUUGGAUACGAUCUCUCCCCUGAGUCUUCAUAUGCUCGGUACAUGUCAAGCCAAGGGUUUGACACAUGGAUCCUUGAAGUUCGGGGUGCUGGGUUGAGUGUGCAGGGAGCGAAUUCCAAAGAAAUUAAGCAGUCUGCCAAUAAAAUAUCUGAGCAGAUGGAAGCUGCUUCAAGGAGUGCAACCAAUGGAGCUUUACCUGUGGGGCUUCAGUCAACUAAUGGUACUGGUGCCUUGGCAAAACCUGAGACUUUUUCUGUCAAAGGAAAAGAAUCUGAGAACAUAGCUGUAAAGGGAGACAUGAUGCGGAUAGCAACAGUGUGGGACGAAUCAAGACUGGUGAUGAAGUUGACAGAAACCUUCAUGCGUUUGUCAGAAAGACUAUCUGGUUUUCUCAGUGAAGGCCAGUCCAAGAUCAUGUUCGCCAAAUUAUCUGACCAGAUUUCCAAACUUUUGGCGGAUUCCCCAUUGUCUGAACGAUUUAAUGAGAUAAGAGAAAAGCUAUCAAGUUUGUUGGAAACAAGGCAAAAUUCCAGUAUUGCUAGCCAAAUUAGGGAUCUGAGUCAAAGGAUAGUAUAUAUAAUCGAAGAGGGUCAACGAUCUGUCUCACCUCCAUUGUUUGACUUGCAAGAGCGUUUUGCGUCAACAAUAGAAGAUUUUCAGAAACAACUUGACUUAAUAGUGAAGUACGAUUGGGAUUUUGAUAAUUACUUGGAAGAGGAUGUGCCAGCUGCGAUGGAAUAUAUAAGAAGCAAAAGCAGGCCAAAGGAUGGUAAGUUGCUGGCAAUUGGACACUCCAUGGGCGGUAUUUUGCUUUAUGCGAAUCUGUCACGAUGUGCUUUUGAAGGAAGAGACUCCAGAUUGGCAGCUAUUGUUACAUUGGCAUCAUCCCUUGACUACACUUCUUCAGAAUCGACUCUCAAAUUGCUCCUACCGCUUGCGGAUCCUGCACAGGCUCUUAGUGUACCUGUUGUUCCUUUAGGGGCAUUACUGGCAGCGGCUUAUCCUCUUUCAUCGCGACCUCCUUAUGUCUUGUCUUGGCUUAAUGAUCUAAUUUCAGCAGAAGACAUGAUGCAUCCAGAGUUGUUUGAAAAGCUUGUCAUGAACAACUUUUGUACCAUACCGGCUAAACUUCUCUUGCAGCUAACAACAGCUUUUCGAGAGGGUGGGUUGUGUGACAGGAGUGGUAGCUUUUCCUACAAGGAUCACAUACACAAAAGCAAUGUCCCUAUCUUAGCACUUGCAGGAGACCGGGACCUUAUAUGCCCACCUGAAGCUGUAGAGGACACUGUCAAGCUGAUUCCCGAGCACCUGGUUACCUAUAAAGUAUUUGGAGAACCUGGAGGUCCACAUUAUGCCCACUAUGAUUUGGUGGGAGGACGAUUGGCAGUGGAGCAGGUAUAUCCUCGUGUAAUACAAUUUCUUGCUCGUCAUGACUCAACAUGAUUACCUUGGCAAUGGAACUUCACGUCGCCAAACGAUUUUGAUUUCCAAGCAGGCAAUAAAGCUAGCAUCCAGAUUUUUAGCAGAAGUUGCGAUGCUUCACUUCUGUGUCGUAGAUUAGCAUUACAGUUGGUAAUAGGAAAAUCAAAACCGAGGAACAAAGGCGCAGAAACGCAUGCUUCGUUUCAUCACACACACAUAUAUAUAUAUAUAUAUAUAGCAAUUUGGAUAUACAGUA